GCAGCCACCUUUUAAAACGCGUCAAAGCGUAACCUUAACCCCCAAAAUACCACUAAUUUUCAUGAACCCCUAAUUUAUAAUGAAUGACUCCAUAUUUAUAUGGAAGACACCAUGCUAGGAUUAGUAACAAGAAUUUAUAAUUCUCCAAAAUGCAAAUAUAAACCAACAUGGAUGGACCAUUGGUAGUUACCGAACCUAAAUUCAAUGCAAUAACACCCACAAGAAAACUCUGCAGUACUCACUCGUUAACCUAACACCAGCGCAUUACAGGAAAGAUUAAAAAAAAGAGAAGGAAUUCGGCAAAUGACGGCCCCGCCUGUUUACCAAAAACAUCGCCUCUUGACUUAUAAUAAGAGGUCUAGCCUGCCCAGUGAAUUUUAAACGGCCGCGGUAUCCUAACCGCGCGAAGGUAGCAUAAUCACUUGUUCUUUAAAUGGGGACUCGUAUCAACGGCAUCACGAGGGUUUUACUGUCUCCUCUUUUUGAUCAGUGAAAUUGAUCUUCCCGUGAAGAAGCGGGAAUAAAUUUAUAAGACGAGAAGACCCCAUGGAGCUUUAAACCAAAUAACAACUUAACCACUCACCCCAUAAUAAAUUUAAGCCCUGUUAUAAGGUUUUUGGUUGGGGUGACCGCGGAGUAAAGCAUAUCCUCCACGACGAAAAGAACAGAAUCUUUAUUUAAGAACCACACUUCUAGAAAUUAGUAUACUAACGUUUACUGACCCGACAAUCGAUCAACGGACCAAGUUACCCUGGGGAUAACAGCGCAAUCUACUUCAAGAGCUCAUAUCGACAAGUAGGCUUACGACCUCGAUGUUGGAUCAGGGUAUCCCGGUGGUGCAGCCGCUACCGAAGGUUCGUUUGUUCAACGAUUAAAACCCUACGUGAUCUG
rnacentral:rRNA from 1 species